GUGGGCCAGUACUUGGGCUUGAGGGGCCCAUCCGAUAACCUUUCCGAUCCCCGCCGUCCGAUCCAAGAAGCCCGCGGGCAAAAUUGAGGGAAAAUCGGAUGGAGCAUAAUCAGAGGGCAGAAUCGUGAAAGCAGAACCCUUGGGUGGAGGUUUCCGCAGGGACCACAGAAAGCGGGCCCCACUGUUUUCAAGAGCACGUGCGAUCUCCCUCACCUGAUCCUCAUCAAAAGAACCCAUGCUCCCGAAGCACAGGAACACAACAGAGGAAGGAGGUUGCUGGUCAAGCCAAUCGAAGAUGUGAGCGUUGUCAGCAUGACCAUUGGGCUUUGGGUUCAGAAUGGGCCCCACUGGAUAAAUGGGCUGAGGCCCGUUAAGGAGGGAGUGGGCCGCAUGGGACUCUAGCUCCUCGAAUGAGUUUACUAUGAUACCACGGGCUUUCUUCAGGCCCCUCGCGAAGGCCAAGAACACUGGCUCCCACUCCUUGCUCAGCGCCAUGUAAGGCAAAUUCGGCUUUGGGAGGGGUUUGGCGAAACUAGGGGUGACGAACUCGGCGUCGGAGACCGUGAACUCGGCGUUCUCCUCUUCCUUGAGGGUGUGAAGAUGAAGCGUCAAACCGAGGAAAGCAAGACCAGAAGUGAAGAACACGAGGGAAGGGACGUGGAAUUCGUCGGCGACGUCGAUCAUGGUGGUGCAGAACAUGUCGAGGACGAAGGCGGCGAGUGGCGGUGUGGGGGGGAGGUUGGCGACGGCUUCUUUGACGUGCGGCUUUUGCAGUUGGAGUAUUUCUCUCAUUGGGAUUGGUUGGGAGUUGGAGGAAACUUGGGGGAGGUUGAUGAGCUGAAGACGGUGUGAGUGAAGGGAAUCGGUGUUAGCAGGUGUGGUGUGAGGUGGUUGUUUGAUUACCAAGACGGUGAUCCAGAUAUGGUGGUGGCGCUCCACCAGAAGCUUCGCGAACUCAAUGGUGGAGAGGAGAUGACCCGUGCCCGGAGAAGGGAUGAAGACGAGACGUGCAACUUUGUUCAUCUUUGUUACUCACUGGUGUGUGUGGAAUUUUUGAAAUGGAAGUGAUUAGAAGGAUAAGGGGAAAUGUUAUGGGAAGAAACGUAAGGCCACAUUAUUGUAUGAUAUCUACAUCUGUGGCUAUGAAUUUCUCACCCAUUGGUCUUUGGAGUGCAUGAGAUAAACUUUUUCUCAUGCCAUUCCAAUAAUUCCUUUUCUACUUUCAAAUAUCAUCUUUUUUAAAUCACAAAUUAUAUGAAAGAAUAAUUGCACUUGAUGGAAUAUCCUCACAACAAAGACUUGUGAUAUUGGAUCUCACAAAACACUUUAUCGGACUUGGGAAUCUUUGCUUAGUCAAAAGUAUAUGCAUUCUGUUACGUAACUUUCCUAUGAUUAAUAGUUUAACACAGGAGACACAAUUUUGAGGAUUUUGAAACGCAACUGGUUUCAAUGUCGGAUAAUAAUCUUUCAAUAAAUAAAUAACUAAAUAGGAGAGAUUAACUGUAAAAAGGAAUAAAAAAUAAAAGUUUUCUCAAAUAUAUAUAUAUAUAUAUAUAUAUAUAUAUAUAUAUAUUUCAAAGUAUUCAUGAAGCUUACACAUUACUUGUCCUUCAAAGGUGGGAGGUUAUUCUUGCAUCUUUAUAACCUUUAAUACUUUAGGUGAAAAGUCUAUUUUAUAAUGAAAUAGAAAAGACUCCUAAGUCACUGCGUUCCAUAAGUUUUUCUUUUCUUUGGAAUUCCACAGUUGAAAAUAUAAUUCACAUUUCAGGAAUGUACUUUAUAAACUUUUUAAUUAUAGAAUUUACAACUUUGUCGAAGCCCACAUAAUUCAAAAUAUAAUUCAAACAUAGUUCACAUUUUAGGAAUGUCUUUUAUAAAAUUUAGACAUGGUGGAUGUUGGUUACAUGCCAAGCUACAAUUCAAAUUUAAACAGGAUUUUGGAAUCUAGUGACUGAACUUAAUAAGUUAUGCUGAACUUUAUAAAAAUGAGGUGUGGGUUUGGUUUGAUUAUAACCAACGAUACCUGCAUAAGUUCAUCCACGACUAUAGCUGUUAUUGGUCAUUCUUUUGAAAAAAAUUUCAUUGAUGAACAACACUUUCAAUUCAUGCAUAGUACGGUUGUGCAGCUGAAUAGUGACACAAGUUUGACUAUACUUUGUACUCCUGAUUCAAGAAACGGUGUGAUUUUUACUUCAAUAGAGGUAUAGUUCUUCAACUCAAGCCAUAUGCCAAACGAAAACGAAGUGUUUUGUAUGAUAAUGGAGAUGCUAUUUCAUGAACAUGUUUACGAGGUUCAUGAUGUAUGUUCUUAAUAAGAGCGUUUGUCUCUCGAGUUAGGAAGAAAGUGAAGAUGAAUUAUGACUUAAGAUAAGAUCAUUGAGGUUGUCAAAGAUAAUAAAGGGAGAUUUUACUAUAUAAAAUCAUUUGACGGUCAAGUUAGUAAAAAUAUAUGGAUUAUAUGAAGGAAUAUAAGAGAUUCACCUGUACAAGAUUCUUCGAUGCUAUAGUCCGUAAAAGUUUUAUUUUGAUGAUUGUUUGAUUUUGCAUAACAAUUAUGUGUAACUUUGAUAUGAUGACCAUUUGAUCUCACAUAAUGAUUAUGUAUAGUUUUAUUCCGAUAGUUGUUUGAUCUCGAAUAACAAUCUUGUAUACUUUUAAUUUGAUGAUUGUUUGAUAUCAUAUAGUUAUUAUGUAUAGUUUUUUUUCAAUGACUGUUUGAUCUUGGUAAACAAUUGUUCUAAUGAUCGUUUGAUCUUGGUUAGAAAUUUUGUUCCAAUGAUCAUUUGAUCUUAGAAAGGGACUACGCAUAACCUUUUUUUUCAAUAAUCGAUUAGUCUUGAAUAGUAAUUGUUCUCACGAUAGUUUGUUCUCAACACUCUUGAUGAUCUUUUUUAUCAACGGUGAGUGUUCUUUCUAUGAUUGUUUGGCCUUUGAUAGUAAUUAUUCUAAUGAUAGUUUGAUUAGAAAAACAUUUUUUGAGGUUGAGACACAUCUCAUGCUUCCCAACAUUGGCAGAAACUCUCCAAAUAUAUAGUCUUGAAAUAUUUGGUUGGCUUGAAAAAAAACAUGUUUUAAGUGAUAUUUGCACAUGUAUUUUUAUUUUACUUUAAUUAUUUUAAGAAAUAAAAAAAAAGCAUAAGUUUUGGUUUUACCAUCGAAGAAACAUGAAUGAAUUUUUACAAAGGAAACAAUUGAAGUAUGUAUAUACUUUAUUAUAUGGAUUUAGAUACAAAGAUACGUAUAAUUUAUCUUGUAUAGUUUUAAUCUGAUGAUCGUUUGAUAUCAAAUAGUUAUUAUGAAUAGCUUUUUUUUCAAUGAUCGUUUGAUUUUGGUAAACAAUUGUUCUAAUGAUCGCUUGAUCUUAGUUAGAAAUUUUGUUACAAUGAUAAUUUGAUCUGAGACCGGGACUAUGCAUAACCUUUUUUUUCAAUAAUAAUUGAUCUCAUGAUAGUUUGUUCUCAACACUCUUGAUGAUCUUUUGAACCACAUUAUCUUAAGCAUGAAGUAUGCAUAUAUUUUAUUAUACGGAUUUAGAUAGAAAGAUAUGUAUAAUUUUUAAAAUUUAAAAUGUAAAAUAUGAAAAUACACAAUUUUUGUUAUUUUUUAUAACAGAAAGAUGUUUAUAACGACAAAUUAAAAAAAAUUAUUUCUUAUUUUUGUAACCAUAAUAAAAAAAUGUUAAAAUUAUUAAAAUAAACAAAUAUUUUUUAAAUUAAUAUAUUAAUAUAUUAAUAGUAUAGUGUCCAAUAGUGUGUUACAAUAAUGAUACCUAAACCUGAUCCAUUAUAUAAUCAAUCAAACGUCCUAAAGAAGAGUGGGAAGAUCCACCUUCCAACAAAGUUUUCCUACUUUUUUCACUGAUUUCCAUUACUCUCUUCCUUCUCUCAUCAUCCAUCUCCACCACAUUUCGUAUCCCUUUUUCUAUGUUCUGGGCACUCAAAAGAGGGGCAGAACCAUCCUUGAACUCAACCCUGUAAUCCAACGAAAUCUCGCAAGCAAUCUCCACCUCAUGCACCAGUAAGAAUGCGUUACUCUGUUGGUCCGCGUAGAGCGGCCACGUGGCAAUGGGCACACCAAAAUAUACGCUCUCAAGGAUAGAAUUCCAACCGCAGUGGGAAACAAAGCCCACGAUGGCGGGGUGGGCCAGCACUUGGGCUUGAGGGGCCCAUCCGAUGACCUUUCCAAUCCCCGCCGUCCGAUCCAAGAAGCCCGCGGGCAAAAUUGAGGGGAAAUCGGAGGAAGCAUAAUCAGAGGGUGGCACCGAGAGAGAAGAACCCUUGGGUGGAGGUUUCCGCAGGGACCAUAGGAAGCGGGCCCCACUGUUUUCAAGAGCACGUGCGAUCUCCCUCACCUGAUCCUCACCAAAAGAACCCAUGCUCCCGAAGCACAGGAAUACAACAGAGGAAGGAGGUUGCUGGUCAAGCCAAUCCAAGAUGUGACCGUUGCGAGGAUUAACAUUGGGCUUUGUGUUCAGAAUGGGCCCCACUGGAUAAAUGGGCUGAGGCCCGUUAAGGAGGUAGUGGGCCGCAUGGGACUCUAGCUCCUCGAAUGAGUUUACUAUGAU
rnacentral:lncRNA from 1 species